CACUUCUUUAUUUCUCUUUUCCUUACCUCUUUUUAACAAGAAUAUUAAGGAUUGUCUGCUCCAUAUAUUACCUAAAUAAUAAUUACUAGUUGUUAAUUUAGUAUUGCGGUAUAAUAAUAAAGUUAUCCCGAUUAAUUUAAAAAUAUUCAUACUAUUAUCACUAAAGAUUACUCCUCCGUCCGUCCUAAAAAGAAUGAGUUAAGCUAAGUACACUUUUGAGGAGGGAGGAGGGAGUAAUUGAACUCUUUUUGUGAAAAAAAUGAAGAGCAGGAGUAUGUAUAUGUGUGUGUAUAUAUAUAUCGGUCCGGAUCAAGAGCAUACCCCUUAUUCAAUUCACUCGAGCUCACCCUCCUUUUAGCGACGGACCCGGCGACGGUUCGGUCAUAUAACCGUCGUCUAUACUUUUAGCGACGCUAUAUGUUAUCCGUCGUUAAAAGUAUAGACGACGGUUAUAACAAUCUCCGGGUACGUCGCUAAAAGAGGGUGAGCUCGGGUGAGUUAGAUAAGGGGUAAGCUCUUGAUGCUUGCUCUCUCUAUAUAUAUAUCCUCCAUUUUAAGCAAAACUAGAAAAAUCUUAUAAUUUAUGGCAGUGAACAAGCUUCAACAAAUUGAAAAAUGGAACAGGACUACAGGAGAAUACAUCAUAUUAGUAAUCUCUAUGUUCAUCAACACAUAUAUAAUUUGCGUAACAUACUUGCGGUGAAGACCUGCAGUUUCUGAGAUUGUGGAAGCGUUUUUGAUUCCAAAGUAAUAUCCCCAAAAGCACUUCCCGUACAAAUGAGCGAAAUCAAUCUCUUGCUAUGUAUUGUUUUUCAGGCAAAAGGGGUAUUUUCCUUUAUGAAUGAUAUGAAUAUGGUGGUGAUGAGAGAGAGAGAGAGAGUGAUUAUUUUAUUUAUGGGGGAAGAGAGAGAAGCAAGUGUGGGCUCUUACAUUUGAUCUAGGAAGAAGGAUUCUUUGUAGAAGGAGGGAGAUAAUAAUGGUGUUGGAAUACAUCUGAUACAUAUAUUGAAAUUAUCUCUCCAGAUCUAAAGCAAUCUGGGUUCAAAAUUUUCAAUUGACCAAAGAUUUGGAUAAAGAUUUUGGUUUGUUUAUGGUGGGUUUGCUAAAAUUGUAUUAUUUUUAUUAGUUUCUUUAAUUAGUUUAUUUUAGUUGUUCGUUGUAUUAUAUGUUUAGUUAAAUUUAUAUUUUGCUUAGUUGUUUGUUAUAGAAAUAGUGCCAC
rnacentral:lncRNA from 1 species